rnacentral:rRNA from 1 species
UACGGGGGGGGCAAGCGUUGUUCGGAAUUACUGGGCGUAAAGGGCGCGUAGGCGGCCUGUUAAGUCGAACGUGAAAUCCCCGGGCUCAACCCGGGAACUGCGUCCGACACUGGCAGGCUUGAAUCCGGGAGAGGGAUGUGGAAUUCCAGGUGUAGCGGUGAAAUGCGUUGAUAUCCACAGGAACUCCGGUGGCGAAGGCGGCACGCUGGACCCCACCUGACGCUGAGGCGCGAAAGCCAGGGGAGCGAACGGG